rnacentral:tRNA from 1 species
GCCGGCGUAGCUCAGCGGCAGAGCAACUGCCUUGUAAGCAGCGUCGCGCCGGUUCGACUCCGGCCGCCGGCUCCA